GCUCAUAAUACAAAGCAGAAAAUACCGUAAUUGUUGUUUUCGCCAGGCAGUGUGUCCUUACAGAGGAAGCUUUAAUCUCCCUCGUACAUCUCUGUUGCUGUAAAUUCAUGCUCCAUUAUGGUACCAUAUGCCCGGAUUCGUUACGAGAGCCAUAGCCAGCUUGGCGGGUUCUGUACACCUCCAUGGACCCUUUGGCCUUGGUUUGGGGGAACUUGAUGCAAACGAUGGUCCUGGAUGAUUGGGGGCCAGGAUGAAGUCUUAGUUCACACCUGCCUGAUCCAAAGAGCACCUCUCCUUAAAUAAAACUGGGAGGACUCUUGCCUGUUCCUGGGAAAGAGUUGCCUUUUCUCUUUCUACAAAGAUAUUCACUCAUUCAAGAAAUAUUGACUCAGUGGCAGUCAGAGUGUUAGGCACUGGGGAGACAAAGGCAGACACUUCCUCUGUGCACACCUAAGGAGCAAAAUUUUCCUCUGUUCCUCGGUCCCAGGGCUGGCUGCUCUUUGUCUCUCCAGAGCAGCCUCUGAUCUUGGCUCCUAGGCGAUGUAUUGUGUUUUCACAGCAAGUUCCUAUGCUAAAAUCCUAACCCCCAGUGGACCCUAAUCCCCUGUGGCUCAUGUCCUUAUGAGACCAGGACAUGCAGAGAAAAGACCACCAGAAGACAUAAGGAGAAGACUGCCAUCUUUAAGCCAAAGAAGAGAAGCCACCAAGGAAACCAACCCUGGUGACAGCUUAAUCUCAGACUCCAGAACUGUGAGAAAAUGUCUGUGGUCUGAACCCUCCGGUCAAUGGCAUAUUACAGUCCAGAGGACCAAGGACUCAUCUGGACCUUUUAGAAAUGCUGGAUGGAUGGCUAUGAUUGCCUCAGAAAUUGCAUUAUUGCGAUGGAAAACUGACCAAUAUACCUCCAAGUGUCUGUUCAGGCCAUUCACUCUGCUGGGAGUAUCUUCUGCCACUCACCAGCCUCAUUACUGUUCAACCCAUUGCAGUCCUGCGAGAGACAUGGCAAUAUCCAACAGUGGGCUGGUCAAUGUGUUAAAAAGCCUCUUGGAACAAGUAAAACAAAAGAAAUCCUGAUUUGUUGCAUUUGUUGACUUCCAUGGUGUAAACGCUCUUACCAUGGCCAACUUCUACUGAAGUGAAGCCACUGAACAGUCAGUUGAAUUGGGAAGGGACAUUUCUAUAGCACAUCACUGUAUUGUAUUCUUCCUAUUGAGAUACAACAGAUGUAAAUAAACUCAAAAGAGUAAAUAUAAGAGUAAAAUGCAAUAACUAGGACUGAUGUUUUGGGUCUUUAUCACCUUUAUAUCAAUAUUAUUUGCUUGACUAUAAGUGCACAAAAUUUAAAUUUUUAUAAUGGCUAUGUUUUUAAAAAACAGCUUGAGCAUUUUCAGAACAUGUAAAAAUUGACUUGUAAGCUAGUGGAAACUGGCUUCAGCAUAGAGACGGGGUAAAAAUUCUCUGCCUAGAAUGGGAUGGGAUGUGGAUACGGCGAAUGUGGUGGAAGUGGUGAGCAAAUGACCCUAUUCUGGGAGACUGUGUGGGUUGUGAAUAAACACACCAACCAUCUGGAAGCUUCCAGUGGGAAUGUGUGAGCAAACAGUUGCAAACAGGCCAUGAAACAGUUUCUGAUUUGUUCCAAAGCCCCAUAGCUGCACCUAAAUCCUAGACAACCCUCAGCAAUGUCUCCAUGCCCCAGUGCAGCACUUUACCAAGUGGUUUUAGGUGGACUCUUCAGGUGCACAGUACCGUCGGCAGCCACAGACCUGGGCUGUGGUCUUUGCCAUCCUGAAGAGCCCAAGUGACUUUCUUGGUCCAAGAAGAAUAUGGGGCACUGCGACUAGAGCCGGUUUUAGACAAUACUACUUUGUGCUGGAGGGUCUACUUCUUUCCUGAGUGACGUUAGCAAGUAACUUCUGGGGCUCAGCUGUCUUCCCUGAAGUUCACUCAGGUCUGUUUCUUCCUGGGAUUGUGCCGACAUGGUAUGAUCCAUGAGGAAUUUCUCCUCUAGUCCUUUAUAUAAUAGUGCAUUACCUACAAGGAAUUAGUUAUAAAAUCACCCCAAUUCACCACUAAUACAAGAUUAAUUAUUUAUGUGAAUAUUAUCUGUGUGAUUGAAUCAUUUCAGAGUGAAAAUCCAAAGGUCAACUGGUAAUGAAGAUGUGUCAGACAAAACAGUCCCAGCCAGUACAUAGUCAUGGUGAUAGACAAUUUCAAGGCACACUUCUGCUGGGUCCAGAAGAAUAUAAAGGGAAUAAUAAACUGGGAUUAUUCAGAGCGACUGAAGAAUCACAAAGUUAUGAAUGUCCAUCCUUCCAGGAAGGCAUCAGAAACAUGUGAUCACUCUCUGUAAAUGCCUGCUGAUUGAUUCGCCAAUACUUUAUUGCUGUUAUUGGGAUUUGUUUUUAAGAUAGGGUUUCUCCGUGUUGUCCAGGUUGGCCUGGAACUGGUGAUCCUCUUGCCUCAGCCUCCCAAGUAGCUGGGAUUAGAGGUGUGUGCUAUUAUGCCCAGCUCCAAUUCGCUAAUAUUAAACUACAAGCUGCUUGGCUUAGGGUACUGAGAACAAGACUAGUAGUAGGAUUUUUUUUUUUUCCCACUACGGAUUGAACCCAGAUGAUACAUGAUACAUGAGGAAUCCAGUGCUUCACCACUGAGCCACAUCCCCAACCCUUUUUAUUUUUCAUUUUAAGACAGGAUCUUGGUAAGUUACUUAGGGUCUUUCUAAAUGGUUGAGUCUGGCCUUGAAUUUGUGAUCCUCCACCGCCUUAGCCUUCCUAGGAGCUUGUAGCUGCCAUUCCUGGUAGCACAGGAUUUUAAUUCACAAAAAUGGGGAAGACCAGCCCAUAUGGUGCCACAUGCCUGUAAUCCCAGUGGCUUGGGA